GAUGAACGCUAGCGGGAGGCUUAAUACAUGCAAGUCGCAGGGUAGAGUGUUUUCGGAUGCUUGAGACUGGCGCACGGGUGAGUAACGCGUACGUGACCUACCGCCGAGAGGGGGAUAGCCCUGGGAAACUGGGAGUAAUCCGCCAUAGUCCAUACUGGCUGCAUGGUUAGUAUGGUAAAGCAGUGAUGUGCUUGGCGAUGGACGUGCGUACGAUUAGGUAGUUGGCGGGGUAACGGCCCACCAAGCCGAUGAUCGUUAGGGGGCGUGAGAGCGUGGACCCCCACACGGGUACUGAGACACGGACCCGACUCCUACGGGAGG
rnacentral:rRNA from 1 species